rnacentral:misc_RNA from 1 species
UAUGGUACCCUCAGGGCAUUUACCAUUCAUGUGCCACAACUGAGUGAUUGGAUUUGUUCUUUCUUUUGAUUCUGUGGCCACCUUAUUCUCAUCAAAGAGCCCUUCUGGGUGGUAACUAGGCCUCAUCUGAAUCUUGUGGUCUUUGAGGAAUGGAUGAUCAAAAGCGGGCUGAUGAGCCAUGUGAACACAGUCUAUUAUAUCCCCAUCUGGACUCUCAAUGCUCUUAACAGCUGGCUUGUUCAAGCGAUUCAAGUGUUUUUGCACCUCAAGUUUCUGUCUUUCGACACUUAAUCUAGCGGCGCGUGUUAAUGACAACAGACCCAAUAAGCAAAAAAACACCGUCAAUCCUCUGCCUCUGCUAAAAUGCGCACCACCACCGCCACCACCGCCACCACCCAUCUUUAGUCAAACCCACCAAAGAACCAAGAAUGUCCAAAUUAAGCAGCUCUCGCUUAUCGUUCGAGCCUGGUGGAUGUUAGAGCUUAAUCA